rnacentral:lncRNA from 1 species
UUCCAAUGAGAAUUUCUCAUGCUCUUUCACGUUCCCUGAAUUCUGUUGGUGAGAAAAGGAUACUGAGGAAGACCACGAGGAAAAACCAGAAGAUGGCCAUCCACAAGCCUAGGAGAGUAGCCUCAGAAGAAACCAUCCCUGCUGACAUCUUGAUCUUGGACUUCUAGACUCCAGAAUUUGAGUGGAACACUUGAGAUUUAAAUUCUGCCUGAAAA